GGGAUACAAGCAUUUUCAGAGGUUGUGCAAAUAUUUGAAGAACAUUACUCUGACACAAUAAAGACAGUUUAUAUUCUUAAUGCUCCAAAAAUAUUCUCAGUGAUAUUUAAUGUGUUAAAGCGAUUCUUGAGGGAAGAAACUGUUGGGAAAAUCAAGUUUCUUGGCGCCAAUUAUAAAGAGGUUCUUCUACAACAAAUAGAUUCUGACCAGCUUCCGGCACAUUGGGGCGGAACUUGCGUUGACCCUGAUGGGAACCCAAGAUGUCCA
rnacentral:sRNA from 1 species